rnacentral:lncRNA from 1 species
AUGGCAGAAAUUCAAUUCUGAGAAAGCCACCAAGCCAAAGAUAUUAGAAUAGAUCUCCAAACAUCUCCGACAAACAGUAGCAAUCGAGCCAGAAAUAGCCAAGUUCUUACAACAAAAAUCUACAAUGAGCUCAAGACUAGCAGCCGCAAAAUCCAAGCUUGAAUAUAAGAGGCUCCUCUUAGAAACCUAACUGAACUAGAGGAAGA